rnacentral:rRNA from 1 species
AAUUUAGCGGCCGCGAAUUCGCCCUUCAUGCAAGUCGAACGGAAAGGCCCUUCGGGGUACUCGAGUGGCGAACGGGUGAGUAACACGUGGGUGAUCUGCCCUGCACUUCGGGAUAAGCCUGGGAAACUGGGUCUAAUACCGGAUAUGACCACAUGAUGCAUGUCGUGUGGUGGAAAGCUUUUGCGGUGUGGGAUGGGCCCGCGGCUAUCAGCUUGUUGGUGGGGUUAAGGCCUACCAAGGCGACGACGGGUAGCCGGCCUGAGAGGGUGACCGGCCACACUGGGACUGAGAUACGGCCCAGACUCCUACGGGAGGCAGCAGUGGGGAAUAUUGCACAAUGGGCGCAACUGNAUGCAGCGACGCCGCGUGAGGAACGACGGCCUUCGGGUUGUAACCUCUUUCAGCACAGACGAAGCGCAAGUGACGGUAUGUGCAGAAGAAGGACCGGCCAACUACGUGCCAGCAGCCGCGGUAAUACGUAGGGUCCGAGCGUUGUCCGGAAUUACUGGGCGUAAAGAGCUCGUAGGUGG